rnacentral:rRNA from 1 species
UACGGGGGGGGCAAGCGUUGUUCGGAAUUACUGGGCGUAAAGGGCUCGUAGGCGGCCAACUAAGUCAGACGUGAAAUCCCCAGGCUCAACCUGGGAACUGCGUCUGAUACUGGAUGGCUUGAAUCCGGGAGAGGGAUGCAGAAUUCCAGGUGUAGCGGUGAAAUGCGUAGAUAUCUGGAGGAAUACCGGUGGCGAAGGCGGCAUCCUGGACCGACAUUGACGCUGAGGAGCGAAAGCCAGGGGAGCAAACGGG